rnacentral:rRNA from 1 species
UCCAGGCGGUCACUUCACGCGUUAGCUACGUUACUAAUAGGUUUAACCCUACCAACAACUAGUUGACAUCGUUUAGGGCGUGGACUACCAGGGUAUCUAAUCCUGUUUGCUCCCCACGCUUUCGUGCAUGAGCGUCAGUAUCGGCCCAGGGGGCUGCCUUCGCCAUCGGUGUUCCUCCACAUCUCUACGCAUUUCACUGCUACACGUGGAAUUCCACCCCCCUCUGCCGUACUCUAGUUAGGCAGUCUUCAAUGCAGUUCCCAGGUUGAGCCCGGGGAUUUCACAUCAAACUUACCUAACCGCCUGCGCACGCUUUACGCCCAGUAAUUCCGAUUAACGCUCGCACCCUACGUAUUACCGCGGCUGCUGGCACGUAGUUAGCCGGUGCUUCUUAUGCCGGUACCGUCAUCCACACAGAGUAUUAGCCUGUGCGAUUUCUUCCCGGCCGAAAGAGCUUUACAACCCGAAGGCCUUCUUCACUCACGCGGCAUGGCUGGAUCAGGGUUUCCCCCAUUGUCCAAAAUUCCCCACUGCUGCCUCCCGUA